rnacentral:rRNA from 1 species
CCUGAUCCAGCAAUGCCGCGUGAGUGAAGAAGGCCUUCGGGUUGUAAAGCUCUUUUGUCAGGGAAGAAAAGGUUCGGGCUAAUAUCCUGGGCUCAUGACGGUACCUGAAGAAUAAGCACCGGCUAACUACGUGCCAGCAGCCGCGGUAAUACGUAGGGUGCAAGCGUUAAUCGGAAUUACUGGGCGUAAAGCGUGCGCAGGCGGUUUUGUAAGACUGUCGUGAAAUCCCCGGGCUUAACCUGGGAAUGGCGAUGGUGACUGCAAGGCUAGAGUUUGGCAGAGGGGGGUAGAAUUCCACGUGUAGCAGUGAAAUGCGUAGAUAUGUGGAGGAACACCGAUGGCGAAGGCAGCCCCCUGGGUCAAAACUGACGCUCAUGCACGAAAGCGUGGGGAGCAAACAGGAUUAGAUACCCUGGUAGUCCACGCCCUAAACGAUGUCUACUAGUUGUCGGGUCUUAAUUGACUUGGUAACGCAGCUAACGCGUGAAGUAGACCGCCUGGGGAGUACGGUCGCAAGAUUAAAACUCAAAGGAAUUGACGGGGACCCGCACAAGCGGUGGAUGAUGUGGAUUAAUUCGAUGCAACGCGAAAAACCUUACCUACCCUUGACAUGGAUGGAAUCCUUGAGAGAUUG